AUUGAACGCUGGCGGCAGGCCUAACACAUGCAAGUCGAACGAGUGGCGGAUGGGUGCGUAAUGUCUGGGAAACUGCCUGAUGGCGGGGGAUAACUACUGGAAACGGUAGCUAAUACCGCAUACCAUCAGAUGUGCCCAGAUGGUAUUAGCUUGUAGGUGGGGUAACGGCCCACCUAGGCGACGCUCCCUAGCUGGUCUGAGAGGAUGACCAGCCACACUGGAACUGAGACACGGGCCAGACUCCUACGGGAGGCAGCAGUGGGGAAUAUUGCACAAUGGGCGCAAGCCUGAUGCAGCCAUGCCGCGGGUAUGAAGAAGGCCUUCGGGUUGUAAAGUACUUUCAGCGGGGAGGCGUUACCCGCAGAGAAAGCACCGGCUAACUCCGUGCCAGCAGCCGCGGUAAUAC
rnacentral:rRNA from 1 species